CUGCAUGGCUGUCGUCAGCUCGUGUCGUGAGAUGUUGGGUUAAGGUCCCGCAACGAGCGCAACCCUUGCCUUUAGUUGCCAGCAGUUCGGCUGGGCACUCUAAAGGGAACUGCCGGUGUUAAACCGGAGGAAGGUGGGGAUGACGUCAAGUCCUCAUGGCCUUUAUGACCAGGGCUACACACGUACUACAAUGGCCGAUACAAAGGGCAGCGACACUGCGAGGUGAAGCCAAUCCCGUAAAAUCGGUCUCAGUCCGGAUUGGAGUCUGCAACUCGACUCCAUGAAGUUGGAAUCGCUAGUAAUCGUGGAUCAGCAUGCCACGGUGAAUACGUUCCCGGGCCUU
rnacentral:rRNA from 1 species